AUCCGCAUAGCUCAAUGGAUAGAGCAUCGUUCUUCUAAAUCGACGACAAGAGUUCGAUUCUCUUUGCGGAUA
rnacentral:tRNA from 1 species